GAUGAACGCUGGCGGCGUGCCUAAUACAUGCAAGUCGAGCGAACAGACGAGGAGCUUGCUCCUCUGAUGUUAGCGGCGGACGGGUGAGUAACACGUGGAUAACCUACCUAUAAGACUGGGAUAACUUCGGGAAACCGGAGCUAAUACCGGAUAACAUGUUGAACCGCAUGGUUCAACAGUGAAAGACGGUCUUGCUGUCACUUAUAGAUGGAUCCGCGCCGCAUUAGCUAGUUGGUAAGGUAACGGCUUACCAAGGCAACGGUGCGUAGCCGACCUGAGAGGGUGAUCGGCCACACUGGAACUGAGACACGGUCCAGACUCCUACGGGAGGCAGCAGUAGGGAAUCUUCCGCAAUGGGCGAAAGCCUGACGGAGCAACGCCGCGUGAGUGAAGAAGGUCUUCGGAUCGUAAAACUCUGUUAUUAGGGAAGAACAAAUGUGUAAGUAACUAUGCACGUCUUGACGGUACCUAAUCAGAAAGCCACGGCUAACUACGUG
rnacentral:rRNA from 1 species